rnacentral:rRNA from 1 species
GACGAACGCUGGCGGCGCGCUUAGCACAUGCAAGUCGAGCGAGAACCAGGGCUUCGGCCCUGGGGACAGCGGCGAACGGGUGAGUAACACGUGGGUAAUCCACCCUCGGCACCGGAAUAGCCCGGGGCAACCCGGAUUAAUGCCGGAUGGCCCGCCGGCCCUGCGGGGCUGGCGGAAAAGGUAGCUUCGGCCUCCGGCCGAGGACGAGCCCGCGACGGAUUAGCUUGUUGGUGGGGUAACGGCCUACCAAGGCUGCGAUCCGUAGCUGGUCUGAGAGGACGAUCAGCCACACUGGGACUGAGACACGGCCCAGACUCCUACGGGAGGCAGCAGUGGGGAAUCUUGCGCAAUGGGCGAAAGCUGACGCAGCGACGCCGCGUGGGGGAUGAAGGCCUUCGGGUUGUAAACCCCUGUUGCCCGGGACGAACAGCUGGUUUCGGCCAGCCUGACGGUACCGGGUGAGGAAGCACCGGCAAACUCUGUGCCAGCCGCCGCCGUAACAC